AUACUUACCUGGCAGGGGAGAUACCAUGACCACGAAGGUGGUUCACCCAGGGUGAGGCCCAGCCAUUGCACUGCGGCUGUUCUGAACCCUGCGAAUUCCCCAAAUGUGUGAAUCUCGACUGCAUAAUUUCUGGUAGUGGGGGCCUGCGUUCAUGCUAUCCCCUG
rnacentral:snRNA from 1 species